AACGCACCUUGCACCCCUUGGCAUUCCGAGGGGUACACCCGUUUGAGUGUCGUGACAUCCUCAACCUUCUUCGGUUUGUUUUUCGAUCGGGAAGGCUUGGAAUCUGGAGGUUUUUUUUUUUGCUGGCCUCUUUUGAAGCCAGCUCCUCUUAAACGAAUUAGUAGGGUUGACAUGAGUUCUAUCCUAGACGUGAUAAAGAUGCUUUUACGUCUUGAGGUCUUGCUCUGUCCCCCGCUUCUAACUGUCUCGCAAGGGACACCGUUCGGGCCGACGCCUUUCAUAGGUGGAAAGCCCGACCCACGAAACCUUGACCUCAAAUCGGGUGAGACUACCCGCUGAACUUAA
rnacentral:misc_RNA from 1 species